CAGCCGCCGCGGUAAUACGUAGGGUGCAAGCGUUAAUCGGAAUUACUGGGCGUAAAGCGUACGCAGGCGGUUAUAUAAGUCAGAUGUGAAAUCCCCGGGCUCAACCUGGGAACUGCAUUUGAGACUGUAUGGCUAGAGUGUGUCAGAGGGGGGUAGAAUUCCACGUGUAGCAGUGAAAUGCGUAGAUAUGUGGAGGAAUACCGAUGGCGAAGGCAGCCCCCUGGGAUAACACUGACGCUCAUGCACGAAAGCGUGGGGAGCAAACAGGAUUAGAUACCCCAGUAGUCCCUGUCCUUAUACA
rnacentral:rRNA from 1 species